rnacentral:rRNA from 1 species
ACGGAGGGUGCAAGCGUUAUCCGGAAUCACUGGGUUUAAAGGGUGCGUAGGCGGUCUUGUAAGUCAGUCGUGAAAUCGCUGGGCUCAACCCAUGCAAUUGCGAUUGAUACUGCGGGACUUGAAUGGGGUUAAGGCAGGCGGAAUGUGGCAUGUAGCGGUGAAAUGCAUAGAUAUGCCAUAGAACACCGAUUGCGAAGGCAGCCUGCUGGGCCUUUAUUGACGCUGAGGCACGAAAGCGUGGGGAGCAAACGGG